AAUUGGUGGUGUAGGGGUAAAAUCCGUAGAUAUCACCAAGAAUACCCAUUGCGAAGGCGAUCUGCUGGAACUCAACUGACGCUAAGGCGCGAAAGCGUGGGGAGCAAACAGGAUUAGAUACCCUGGUAGUCCACGCCCUAAACGAUGUACACUAGUUGUUGGGGUGCUAGUCAUCUCAGUAAUGCAGCUAACGCAUUAAGUGUACCGCCUGGGGAGUACGGUCGCAAGAUUAAAACUCAAAGGAAUAGACGGGGACCCGCACAAGCGGUGGAGCAUGUGGUUUAAUUCGAGGAUACGCGAAGAACCUUACCUGGGCUUGAUAUCCUAAGAACCUUUUAGAGAUAAGAGGGUGCUAGCUUGCUAGAACUUAGAGACAGGUGCUGCACGGCUGUCGUCAGCUCGUGUCGUGAGAUGUUGGGUUAAGUCCCGCAACGAGCGCAACCCACGUAUUUAGUUGCUAACGGUUCGGCCGAGCACUCUAAAUAGACUGCCUUCGUAAGGAGGAGGAAGGUGUGGACGACGUCAAGUCAUCAUGGCCCUUAUGCCCAGGGCGACACACGUGCUACAAUGGCAUAUACAAUGAGACGCAAUACCGCGAGGUGGAGCAAAUCUAUAAAAUAUGUCCCAGUUCGGAUUGUUCUCUGCAACUCGAGAGCAUGAAGCCGGAAUCGCUAGUAAUCGUAGAUCAGCCAUGCUACGGUGAAUACGUUCCCGGGUCUUGUACUCACCGCCCGUCACACCAUGGGAGUUGAUUUCACUCGAAGCCGGAAUACUAAACUAGUUACCGUCCACAGUGGAAUCAGCGACUGGGGUGAAGUCGUAACAAGGUAACCGUAGGAGAACCUGCGGUUGGAUCACCUCCUUUCUA
rnacentral:rRNA from 1 species